GUGUUGAGUGAAAGGAGAGAAGGUUAGCAUUCCCCUUGACAAGGAUGCAAGAGGCCUGCAACACGCAGACGGUUAAGGCACUGCCACCCACUUCGUGGCAUCUAACCAAUGUUUUUG